rnacentral:rRNA from 1 species
UAGGACCUACGGGAGGCAGCAGUGAGGAAUAUUGGUCAAUGGUCGGGAGACUGAACCAGCCACGCCGCGUGAGGGAUGAAGGUACAGAGUAUCGUAAACCUCUUUUGUCAGGGAACAAAGGCGGGGACGCGUCCCCGGAUGAGUGUACCUGAAGAAAAAGCAUCGGCUAACUCCGUGUCAGCAGCCGCGGUAAUACGGAGGAUGCGAGCGUUAUCCGGAUUUAUUGGGUUUAAAGGGUGCGCAGGCGGUCUGUUAAGCCAGCGGUCAAAGCCCGGGGCUCAACCCCGGCCCGCC